rnacentral:rRNA from 1 species
GAUGAACGCUGGCGGCGUGCCUAAUACAUGCAAGUCGAGCGAAGCGGGGACGUGUUAGUAACACGUGGAUACCCUCCUCUAGGACUGCGAUAACUUAGGGAAACCGGAGCUAAACCGGAUACUUAUAUCUGGAUCCGCGCUGCAUUAGCUAGUUGGUAAGGUAACGGCUUACCAAGGCAACGAUGCAUAGCCGACCUGAGAGGGUGAUAGGCCACACGGGAACGGAGCCACGGUCCAGACUCCUACGGGAGGCAGCAGUAGGGAAUGUGACGCAAUGGGCGAAAGCAUGACGGAGCAACGCCGCGUGAGAGAUGAAGGUCGUCGGAUCGGAAAACUCUGUUAUGAGGGAAGCGGUACCGAAUCAGAAAGCAACGGCUAACUACGUGCCAGCAGCCGCGGUAAUUC